rnacentral:lncRNA from 1 species
CCAGGGAGUAGUGGAGCUGCGCGAAAUCCAUCGUAGGAAGUGGAGCAGAGCUGCGACCGUUACUGCGGCCUGUCAGGGAGUGAUGGAGCUGCAUGGAAUCCGCCGCAGGAAGUGGAGCAGGAUCGUGGCCGUUAUUGUGGCCUGCCAGGGGGCGCAGAUCCAUCGGCUGAAGCUCGACAGCGGUCGGAGUCUGGCCCCCGUAGGGGUCCGGGCGGAGUCCUCCUUGC